rnacentral:rRNA from 1 species
AUUGAACGCUGGCGGCAUGCCUAACACAUGCAAGUCGAACGGCAGCGCGGGGAGCUUGCUCCCUGGCGGCGAGUGGCGGACGGGUGAGUAACGCGUGGGAAUCUGCCCAGUAGUGGGGGACAACCCGGGGAAACUCGGGCUAAUACCGCAUACACUCUACGGAGGAAAGCGGGGGAUCUUCGGACCUCGCGCUAUUGGAUGAGCCCGCGUCGGAUUAGCUAGUUGGUGAGGUAAUAGCUCACCAAGGCGACGAUCCGUAACUGGUCUGAGAGGACGAUCAGUCACACCGGAACUGAGACACGGUCCGGACUCCUACGGGAGGCAGCAGUGGGGAAUAUUGGACAAUGGGCGAAAGCCUGAUCCAGCAAUGCCGCGUGUGUGAAGAAGGCCUGCGGGUUGUAAAGCACUUUCAGCAGGGAAGAAAAGCGCGGGGAUAAUACCCCCGUGUCUUGACGUUACCUGCAGAAGAAGCACCGGCUAACUCCGUGCCAGCAGCCGCGGUAAUACGGAGGGUGCGAGCGUUAAUCGGAAUUACUGGGCGUAAAGCGCGCGUAGGCGGCUUGGUCAGUCGGAUGUGAAAGCCCCGGGCUCAACCUGGGAAUUGCAUUCGAUACUGCCGAGCUCGAGUAUGGGAGAGGGAAGU